AUGGCGUAACACAAAGACGUGACAAAAACUAGUAAUUUCUCCAAUUCUUCUGCAGGCCGGUUAAUAAAGAUGGACGUCGUCUAUAGACGUGACAAUAGCAUAACUUUAAUCACGUGUCUACUAUCAAUCUUCAGCAGGCGGUGAUCUUACGUACAAUUUCCCCGUUCGAGCUGGCGGGGUGGACUAUUCGCAGUUCAAUCCGUACAAUGAUAGACUGAGAGCUGACACUAUCAAAAGUCUGACCUUUCAGACCAUGGGCAACAACGACGCACACAUUCUACUUCAGAACAACAGCAUCGACUUCAAUAACAAAGUGGUAGAAAUCGUCAUCGGUGGGUGGAGUAACAGUCGGUCUGUCAUCAGAGACCGGCAGCAAGGUCCCGCAUUGUCCUCAUACUCGGGCUCUUUACUCUCCGGCUCCUCCUUCCAAUGGUUUUGGAUCUCAUGGAACGGGGGCUGUGUCAAGGU